GGGCGGUUAGCUCAGCUGGUAGAGCGUCUGCUUUACACGCAGAAUGUCGGGAGUUCGAGCCUCUCACCGCCCACCA
rnacentral:tRNA from 1 species